rnacentral:rRNA from 1 species
AACGAACGCUGGCGGCAGGCUUAACACAUGCAAGUCGAGCGCCCCGCAAGGGGAGCGGCAGACGGGUGAGUAACGCGUGGGGAUCUGCCUAGUGGUACGGAACAACACGGGGAAACUCGUGCUAAUACCGUAUAAGUCCUUCGGGAGAAAGAUUUAUCGCCAUUAGAUGAACCCGCGUCUGAUUAGCUAGUUGGUGAGGUAACGGCUCACCAAGGCGACGAUCAGUAGCUGGUCUGAGAGGAUGAUCAGCCACACUGGGACUGAGACACGGCCCAGACUCCUACGGGAGGCAGCAGUGGGGAAUAUUGGACAAUGGGCGCAAGCCUGAUCCAGCCAUGCCGCGUGAGUGAUGAAGGCCUUAGGGUUGUAAAGCUCUUUCGCUAGGGAAGAUAAUGACGGUACCUAGAUAAGAAGCCCCGGCUAACUACGUGCCAGCAGCCGCGGUAAAAC